UACGGAGGGUGCAAGCGUUAUCCGGAUUCACUGGGUUUAAAGGGUGCGUAGGUGGGCAGGUAAGUCAGUGGUGAAAUCUCUGGCUCAACUCAGAGUCUGCCAUAGAAACUGUAGUGCUAGAGUGUGGGAGAGGUGAGUGGAAUUCCCGGUGUAGCGGUGAAAUGCGCAGAUAUCAGGAAGAACACCCGUGGCUAAGGCGGCUCUCUAGUACGGUACUGACGCUGAGACGCGAAAGCGUGGGGAGCGAACAGG
rnacentral:rRNA from 1 species